AUUGAACGCUGGCGGCAUGCCUUACACAUGCAAGUCGAACGGCAGCGCGGACUUCGGUCUGGCGGCGAGUGGCGAACGGGUGAGUAAUACAUCGGAACGUACCCUGUUGUGGGGGAUAACUAGUCGAAAGAUUAGCUAAUACCGCAUACGACCUGAGGGUGAAAGUGGGGGACCGCAAGGCCUCACGCAGCAGGAGCGGCCGAUGUCUGAUUAGCUAGUUCGUGGGGUAAAGGCCCACCAAGGCGACGGUCAGUAGCUGGUCUGAGGGUACGAGCAGCCACAGUUGGGCUGAAACAGGGCCCAGACUCCUAAGGGAGACAGCAGUGCGGUAUUGUGGGCACUGGGGGCAACCCAGAUCCAGCAAUGCCGCGUGUGUGAAGAAGGCCUUCGGGUUGUAAAGCACUUUUGUCCGGAAAGAAAUCGCGCUGGUUAAUACCUGGCGUGGAUGACGGUACCGGAAGAAUAAGCACCGGCUAACUCCGUGGAAGCAGCCGCCGUAA
rnacentral:rRNA from 1 species